rnacentral:rRNA from 1 species
UGAGGAUGAGAGGCAGCGAUUCUAGUGUAACCGUGAAUGCGUAGAUACUAGGAGCACAUCAAGUGGCGAUGCGCUGCUGACAUCACUGACGCUGAGCGCGAAAGCGUGGGGAGCAACAGAUAGAUAUCUCGUAGUCACGCGUAAACGAUGAUACUAGUGUAGGGAGACUGACCCUCUCUGUGCCAGGAGUUACACAAUAAGUAUACCACCUGGGGAGUACGGCCGCAAGGUUGAAACUC